GGCGGCAGUAGCGCGGUGGUCCCACCUGACCCCAUGCCGAACUCAGAAGUGAAACGCCGUAGCGCCGAUGGUAGUGUGGGGUCUCCCCAUGCGAGAGUAGGGAACUGCCAG
rnacentral:rRNA from 7 species